AUACGGAGGGUCCGAGCGUUAUCAGGAUUUAUUGGGGUUAAAGGGGGCGCAGGCGGCCAUUUAAGUCAGCGGUUAAAUAGUGGGGCUCAACACCAUUCUGCCGUUGAUACUGGGUGGUGUGAUUGCGGUCGAGGUUGGCGGAAUUCGUUGUGUAGCGGGGAAAUGCAUAGAUAUAACGAAGAACACCGCUUGCGUAGUCAGCUGGCCAGAUCGCAAAUCACACGCACGCACGACAGGGCAGGGAAAGAACAGGAAUAGAUACGCUGGUAGUCCCCACAGUAAACAAUGCUUACUUGUGUGCGAAGAUAUCAUGCCGGAGGCAUAGCCAAAGCGAUAAGUGUUCCACCUGGGGAGUACGCCGGCAAGUGUGAAACUCAAAGGAAUUGGCGGGG
rnacentral:rRNA from 1 species